rnacentral:lncRNA from 10 species
GAAACCCUGUCUCUACUAAAAAUACAAAAUACAAAAAAAAUCAGCCUGGCAUGGUGGCGGGCGCCUGUGGUCCCAGCUACUCUGGAGGCUGACGCAGGAGAAUGCCGUGAACCCGGGAGGCGGAGCUUGCAGAGAGCCGGAGAUCACGCCACUGCACUCCAGCCUGGGCUACAGAGCAAGACUCCGUCUCAAAAAAAACCAAAACAAAACAAAACAAAAAAAACACCCAGUUUUUCCAUGGAGUGAUAGAAUUUAAUUGAUGAGCUUGACGAGCUUAAUUACAGAAGGGAGAGCUCCAAAAUACAUGUCUGCAGCUUCACUCGUGCCUGAGCCAGCGAGAGCAGGAACCCACCAGAAGGAAGAAACUCCAAACACAUCCGAACAUCAGAAGGAACAAACUCCAGAUGCGCCACCUUAAGAGCUGUAACACUCACCACGAGGGUCCGGGGCUUCGUUCUUGAAGUCAGUGAGACCAAGAACCCACCAAUUCUGGACACAGGAGCACAGGUGUCUUUUCAAGAUUCUGAUUUCAUUUCCUUUGGAUGUAUACCCAGCAGUGGGAUUUGUGUUCAUAAGAUAAAAGUAAAGCAAAUGAAAUAUUAUGAAGUAUCAAGGUGACACUGUAGAAGCUUAAUGAUUACUUCAGAAGGAUGUUCACCAUAAAGAUUAAGAAAAUUGAUUUUGUAAAAUGUGAUACUAUUUUUAUAAAAACUACAAAUCUGUCAUCACUAAGCAAGUUCUUCCCACUCAUGGAUUCUAGAGGAGUUCACCCAUGUCCAGAGAAAGUUUGCAAUUAAGGUCAUUCCUCGCUCAUUGGGAACACUGAGUCAAAGAAAAUAAGUUUGCAAGAAGACAAGGAAUGACCUGUAGGCAUACUAAGCCUGCAUUUGAGACUGACAAGGAGUGAGAGAUACUGUUUUGAGUGUGUGUGAAAAUGAAGAGAAUGAAUCAUCUUUUACUGAUUAUAAUCUAUAACUUGAGUUUGCAAGUCAAAGAACUUCUGAAACAGGGUUUCAGUUACUGCUCCUAGCAGGAUUCUCCAUUGCUACUCAUCAUAUUUUGUUAAGACAAACAGGGCUAUCAUGAAGCAGCAGACACCCCUGUCAUAUCAUGCGUGGAGGAGGAUCCAGCAUUUGUGAAAAUCACAGAAGAUCAUAUGAGAAGGCACCAUUUUAAUGAAAGAACAAGAAACCUGAAAUUCAAUAACAAAGCCUGAAGGCUAGAAAAGGUUAUGAAAUAGCCCAUGAUAAGCACAGGUGGAAAAUUGACACAAAGAGUUUUCUGCUAUGCCAAAUAAAUUUUGUUGUCUUUGUGUGUGUGUAUGCUGCGUAUCUUAAAACCAUAACAUUUUCACUGACAUUGAAUCAUCCUCCUCAGUAACUGAGGGAAACUUCCUUGGGAACCCACCUUAAAUUUUACCAUCUUUGGCAGCUUUUGAAAUGACUCUAUCUUCAAAUUCUUGAAUUUCCACAUUCUCUUCUCUGACUUUACCUUUGAUUAUUUUGCUCUCAGUAAAUCUGCAUCUCAGUCUUCCUCUUCUCAGUUCUAUCCUAGUGUACCAGCCCAUUAACCCCUGUUUGAUUUUAUUUGGCUCUCUUCCUCCAUGGGGCUACACGUAAGCCUCAUGCUCAUUGUAGUCCCUGUCUCUCUUCAACACUGGUAUCUUACCACCUCUCCAUAACUUCCCACUAUUUCUUUCUUGCCAAUCAUCAACCCUGUGUAAUAUCUACUGUCUUAUUUUCUUUGACGCUAGAAAUCAAGGCCCUGAUGGUCAAAGGCAUUAAACAAUCUAUGGGUUUGCCAUAAGUGCAUUAUGUGGUUUAUUAUUUUGCAGAUAUUUAAUGUGGUACAUGAUAAAAUGUUACUUUUUCUACUAAUCUUAUUUAUGUAGCCGAAAAUCUAGAAAAAUGUUUUUCUU